rnacentral:rRNA from 1 species
UUGAAAGGGAAACGAUUGAAGUCAGUCGUACCUGUGGGUAAUCAGCCUUUUGGGUGUGAUUUUGUGGAGUGUGAGGAGUUAAACGCCUUCAUGCCUGCAUAUUCGUGCACUUUGGGUGUAUUUACCCGUGUGAUAAGUUAACAUCAAUUUCGGUGGUCAUAAAAUGGCUGGAGGAAUGUAGCUUCGAUCUUGUAUUGAAGUGUUAUAGCCUUCGGUAGAUGUGAUGAUCGGGAUUGAGGAUUGCAACGGAUACCCUUCGGGGCUACCUGUCUGAUCUCUGAUCGUUGCUCUGGUGCCGAAAGCUUGCUUACGGAUAUCAAAGUCGAUGGUCAAUAGGUUAGAACGGGUUAAAUUCGUUAAGGAUGUUGACGUA